GAGUUACUGGCUGCGGCCUCUGUAAGCAACUGAUCUACAAGGCAUUAUUCCAUUGACAACUCUAGGCUUCAUUCUACAGAGAAUGAAGUAUUACCUGAAUUCCAUGUUGUGGCUGAAGCAAAAGAAGGGUAAAUGGUGAGUGGCUGUAGGUUGGGGAAAGGGAAAUGUUGUAUCGCUGUAGAAUCAUGGAAAGAGCAAUCUUUGUUUCUGUCAUUGCAAAGCUCAUACCGACACAAGAUCGAGGUCCCAAUCCAAAGGGAACAUAUGCAGCUGCAUUAUGUUUGGUGGCAUUGGCGAUCCCUUCUGCGAAUCUCUCAGGUUUGAAGAGAUUGACAUCAUCUCCCCAUAACUGAGGGUCAUGGUGAAGUGCCAUGAUUGGGACACCCAAAUGUAAAUCAGCUGGCAGGAUGAGCUUUCCCAAUUGAACUUCAUUUUCAACUUUUCUUGCCAUGCCACUUACAGGAGGAUAUAAUCUUAAAGUUUCAUUAAUGAUCAUAGUCAUCUGUAUGCAGCAGAAGAGGAAUAAACAUAUCAAAUCUAUUCUGAUUUUCAAAAAUUCAAUCUACUAAAUGUUCAAUGAUGUGUCCAAGCAAAAUGAUUAGAUUUACUUACAGUCUUUAGUCUGCCAAUGCCUUCAGAAUGUGGAUUUUGGUUACCAAAGACCUUAAUCACCUCUCUUCUUGCUUUCUCCUGCCAAUCUGGAUUGAUUGCUAAAAGCAAGACUGUCCAUGCAAGUGCAGAAUUAGUUGUUUCUUGUCCAGCAAAGUAAAAUGUCUUGCAUUCAUCUACCAAAUCUUGUACUGAUAGCCUGUUCUUCUUGUCUGCAUCAUGGUAAGCACUUACAAGUAAUCCAAGAAAAUCAGUGCCAAAGCUGUUGGCUUCUCCAUUCACUACUUUCUCUUCUCGUUUCUUAACUAUCUCCAUCACAGAAUUGUGUAUUCCUUUUACAAGUUUGUCUGAUUCAAUUUCAUCAGCAGUUUUACGGAAAUUACUGCAAAAGCAAAACAAAUUUCCACCAACAUAUGAAGGCAAAAUAAAACAAAAAUCCACCUAGCUAUACAAGAGUAGUUUAACCAUUUGCGCAAAAGCUGCAUAAUAUGACUUCUAGUUAGUCUCCUUUCUCAUUAAAUCAGAAAUAACCUGAAGAGGAACUUACCUAAUGACAGGAAACUUAGAUUUAAACAUGUUUCUGUUUGUCAAGACAGACAACUUCAACAACAUGUCAAAAAUCUUUUUCCCAUCUAAGUAACUGCUACCAAAAGCUGUCCUUGAUAUGACUUCUGAAGUCAACAACCUAAAUUCUUCAAACACCUCAAUUUCUUUGCCUUCAAGUUGCUUCCACUUUUCCAGCAUCGUCUCUACACUAGCAAUCAGUGCUGGUGUCAUGCUCUGCCAAAACCAUCACCACUCUUAUGAGUAACUUAUACCUUGCCAGGAUUUGGUUCUUCUCUAAUGCAUAAAAUUCACAAAACAUGAUCUGACUAUGAAGUAUCUUACAUCAACACAUCUAUGACAAAAAUAAUUAUAGCAUUUGAUCAGAAGUUUACUUUUAAGCUCUCCCCAUGAAAAGCAUAAUUGGCCAACUUCCUUUGCCUUGCCCAUUUCUGACCUUCGGAUGUCACAAGCCCAUCCCCUAGUAUCUUAAUAGCGAACUCGUCUUCAUUCCUCUUCCUUUCUCUACUUGUCCUUUUUGGAAAAGCUCUUUCACUACUCUUCAACACCUCUUUGACAAGCUCAGGCUCUGUGAUAAUCAGUUGAGCUUUAGUACCUGCCCAAGAAAGAUAGUUUUUCCCUAAUUCCACGGAAACAAAAGAAGGUUAAAUUGUUUCUUAAAAAAGGGUCUUAAAGCAAAAAAAAAAAAAAAGAAAAAAAAGUUGGGGGGGGGUGGGGUGUGGGGGGAGAGAAUUUAAUCUUACCAUAUGAGUUGAUCCAUGAAUAAACUUGAGGAUGGACUCUGGGAAAUAUAUCAUGUGAUAAACUAGUCAUAGGCUUGCUUAAUGCUUCCUGUUUCAUUUUUAUGGUCUCUUUGUUGUUUCCAUGGAUGAAUUUGUAAGGAGGUCCUUUGAUUCCUUGCAAAUUCAUUGCAUACUGUAUCCGAAGUGGUGUCCACCAAUACUUGUGUAGGAUUUUGAUCAGAGCUAUGACCAGAUACAGGCACAGAGAGCCUGUAAGAAGGGCUGAUAGAUUUGCUGCCAUGGAAGACAUUUGCAGAACCUGGCAAGGAAAAUAGAUUUUCUGAUAAAGUUCAUUUCCCCGGGAUAUAUCAGAUUUAUGACAUUUCAAGGGCGGUCACUUUGGCCUCAUUCAGAAUUAUGGUCUAAGCUAUAGAUAGUCAAAUUCAACCGCAUGACCAAUAGUUGCAGCCUGUUCAACGUUUCACAUUCACAUGGACAAAACUCAACGAAUAGGAGCAGUGAAAAUUAGAAAAAUUUGCAAUAAAGAAAAGGGAAAAGAGAACAGUCAAAGCACGUUAUGUCUGAUGCAGAACAGAACUCUGUCCAGACAGAGAAAUAGCCGUAACCCAUUGUCAAACACAACAAGUAUGUUAUUAAUAUUCAUUUUAAUUUAAUAUGUAUCCAAAUUUAAUUUUUUUUUGAAAAGUGAUUUUAUUAACCUCUAUCUCAUCACCAGCAUGUCGUUUCAAGUGUUUAGCUUAGCAUGCAAAAGACUCUCAUGGCAUAAACGGGCAGUGAAGCCUGUACACUUACGAAAGAAUUUUGCUACUCACGCAAAAAGUAGCAUCACUUGAUCAAGGAUCAACCGACCAAAACCAAACUUUAGGGGGGAAGCAUUUACGGCCCUUGGCUACCUACACAAAAUUAUCGAGUACAUACAAAGGAUAGGAGAAGCAGAAGACCGACAUCAGUCGUGAAGCAAAAAAGAGCACCCUAAAACUAUCGUAGACUAGAGGAACAGCCUCCCCAAUUAGCCAGCACGCCCUUCACACUUGGGCUACAAGCUGACAGGAAAGCAGCCCCUGCAAUGCAUCGAACACAACCAGCAAAAAAGACACAGGACGAGCACAAACCAACAACAUCGAACCAUCGACCAUGGCGAAGAAGAGUCGAAAACUUGCAGCCCGCACUUGAGCAGAGGAAAGGCCGAGAGCAGCUCCGAGAAGGAGGGAUGCCCCAAAAACACUCUGCAGAAAAACGCAAGCCACCUUACAAGAGAAAGCCAACACUCUCCACUAUCGGAAGAGCCAAAGAGAAGAGCAGCUCCACAAUUUGAGAAGCUCAAAUGGAAGAAGAAACCUCAUGAUAGGAGAAACACCUGGUCCAACCAAAAUUAGAAAACUCGACCAACCACGGACAGCAAGGGCAGCAUGGAACAACCGUUAAGAACAAACACAUGAAAGGGGAGAGCAGAAAGGACAAAUCUUUGACUACCAAUAGAGCAAAGGCAAGCCAAAGCAAAUCAAACAGGAUCGAAAAGCCCAAAGCAACAAGGAAAUGAAAACUAAAGAGAAAACAAACAAAACCUGAACAGAGGGAAAUCUCAGUCAACAACAAAAAGCUUGUUGGGAAAUUGCGGAAUUGUCUCUAAAGAAUUGCCCAAGAUCUAACCCAAUCAAUCGAAUAAAGAAAGAAAGAAAUCAAGGACACCCACAAGAACACAAGAAUUUACGUGGUUCGGUCUUUUAAUGACUUACGUUCACAGGCACAACAAUAGAGAAAUAUUCACUAAGAGAAAAAUUAAGAGAUUACAAGAACAGUCUCAAACUCAUAACCCUUAUCCCACAUAUACCUAAAUCAUUCUCUCUAAAUCUAGGUGAUAAUUAUUCUUUAACCCCAUAGGGUCCUUUUAUAGUAUCAAAUACAAUAUCCUUAUCCUAAUUUAAUUAGGAAUCUUAUCCUAAUAGAAUAGAUAAUUGUUAUUCUAAUCUAACUAGAUUUAAAGACUAUUUAUAAGGUAUACUAAUUUAAUUAGAAUUAAACAAUCCUAAUUAAAUCACAAUUCAAGACUAUCCUAACAAAUCUCCACCUUAGGCUUGAAUUCACCAAGCUCCACCUUACGAACCAAUCUCUGUCGACACCGCCACUGCCCCAAUGGGCCUCAAGCACUACGAACACCGAUCAAGUCCAAGCAAUGCUUGAACUUUAUCCCAGAAACUGACUUAGUUAGCAUAUCUGCCGGAUUUUCAUCUGUAGCUAUUUUCUUUACUACAAUCUCACCUUUAGAAAUAAUCUCUCGAACGAAGUUACACUUGACUUGGAUGUGUUUGGUUCUCUCAUGAAACAUCUGAUUUUUAGUCAAAUGUAUAGCACUUUGACUAUCACAAAACACAACUGUUUGUGUUUGUUCAAAACCAAGAUCACUAACCAAGCCUUUAAGCCACAAAGCCUCCUUCACUGCCUCGGUCACAGCCAUAUAUUCAGCUUCAGUUGUAGACAAAGCAAAGGUUGAUUGAAGAACUGCUUUCCAACUGAUUGCAGAUCCUGAGAGAGUGAACACAUACCCCGUUUGAGAUCUUCUACUAUCUAGAUCACCAGCAAAAUCUGAUUUGGAGAAGCCAACCACAUUACGACUAAUGUUUGCACCUCCUUCACACACUAAGCCAACUUCAAUAGUAACUUUAGGUGUUUUCACAAGCUCCCAUGUUUGAUCCCAGUGUAGAGACUCAAUCUUCUUAGAAGACUCGACAUAUAUAAUUUUCUCAUGAUAAAAGUAAGGCUCUUCAAUCUCUACUUCCACAAAUAAAACAUAAGAAUCAAAAUCACCAUCAAUACAAGUAAUGCUUCGUUGAGAUACCAAUUCUUGUACCUCUUGCAAUUCUUUCUGGAUUUCACUAUCAUCUCGCACUGUCACAAGAGCAUUGAUUUCAAGCUCCACCUGCUUGCCAACUUCUUGGUUUGAUGUGUUUGCAAUUCUAGACUUUAUCCCACAAAGUAAUGCAGACUUGUCAAAGGUAACAUCCCGACUCACCAUAAACUUGGGGAACUUACAAUCAGUACACCACAACCAAUAACCCUUCACCCCAUAUGCAUAGCCUAGGAAUAUGCACUCUGUCGCCCUCAACUCAAGUUUACCAUCACUCACAUGAACAUGAACAGGACAACCAAAUACUCUCAAUAUAAAAUAAUCAGCAGGCUUACCAGACCAAACUUCCUUGGGAGUCUUAAAUUCAAUUGCAGUUGAUGGAGACCGAUUUACCAAGUAACAAGCCUUGUUGAUAGCUUCUGUCCAAAAUACUUUGGUUAGGCCAACAUUUGAGAACACGUAUUUUGCUCUCUCCAAAAGUGUUUUCUUCAUCAAUUCUACAAUAUCGUUUUGAUAUGGUGUUUUGUCGACAGUGCGAUGUCUAACGAUUUUCUCAUUCUUGUAGAAUAGACCAAACUCACAUUUGCAAAAUUUCAAACCUUUGUUUGUUCGAAAGCUCUCGAUCCUUUUCUUAGUCUGCUUCUCGAUCAAUACCUUCCAAUGCAAAAAGGUGGUUAACACUUCACUCAUAGCCUUUAGAAGAUACGUCCACACCUUUCUUGAAAAAUCAUCAAUAAAGAUCCACAUGUAUAAUGAUCCACCUUUUGAUACCACCGGAGAAGGAUCCCACAAAUCUAAAUAGAUGUAGUUUACUGUACCCCUGGUUUGAUGAGUUUUAGUGCUAAAUUUCACUCUAUGUUGCUCACAGAAAUCUAGCUUUCCACUCUUUUGACCACACAGCAAACUAUGCUUACUUAGUUUUCUAAUCCCUCUCUCGCUCAUAUGACCAAAUCUCAUAUUCCAUAAACGUGUUACAUCAUCUUCAGGAUCAUUAGAUGAGACCACAGAAACAGUUUCAAUGACCGUGUUUCCCACUAGACAAUAAAGGUCACCGGAUAACUUGCCCUUCAUGAUAGUUAAGGCUCCUUUAGAUACAUUCAAGACACCAUCUUGGCCACUAUAUUUGUAGCCCUUCUUAUCUAACAAACUCAAGGAUAUUAAAUUCUUUUUCAUGUCAGGGACAUGUUUUACCUCAAGUGUUCUUACCAUACCAUCAAACAUCUUGAUUCUAAUUGUGCCAAUUCCAACAACUGAGAGAGAGAAAUCAUCUCCUAAUUGUACAGUGCCCAUAUUAACAGAUUGAUAAGUUGUAAACCAAUCACGCCUAGGACAUAUAUGAAAGCAACAAGCCGAAUCCAAGAUCCAUGUAUCCAUCAGGUUACAAUUAGUAAUUGCAAGAACAUUAUCAGUUUCCUCAAAAGUAUCAAAGUCAUCUCCAACCACGUUUGCAGUAUUCUCAGACUUAUUAAACUUUUCAUCAUCCUUGAAUUUGAUACAGUCUUGACGAAAAUGCCCUUUCUGACCACAAUUCCAGCAAGUUUUCCCUUUUGCUCUAGAUUUACCUUUUCUGUCUAAGCCUUUCUCUUUACCUCUACCUCUAUUUACAACCAAACCUUCUGCUUGAUUUUCAUUCCGAAUACCACCAACUUUCUUCUUUAAUUCCUUGGAAUUUAAAGAUGCCCUUACAUCCUCGAAAGUGAGAGUGUCUCGGCCGUAAAGCAUAGUAUCCACGAAAUUUUCAUACGAUGGAGGCAAAGAACAUAAAAGAAUUAGGGCUAGGUCCUCAUCCUCAAUUUUAACAUCGAUAUUCUUUAAAUCAAGAAUAACUCUAUUAAAUUCAUCAAUGUGGGUAUUAACGGACGUACCUUCACUCAUCUUGAGAGUAUACAAUCGUUGCUUCAUAUAAAGCCGAUUCGUCAGGGACUUGGUCAUAUAAAUACUUUCGAGUUUAAACCACACUGCAGCAGCAGAUUCUUCAUCCGUGACUUCUCUUAGCACCUCAUCAGACAAAGCAAGGAGAAUAGCACUAUGUGCUUUUUCCAUAAGGUCAUCUUUCUCACCAUCAGAUAAAUUCGAGGGAAGAUGCUCUUUUCCCUUCAGUGCCUUCAACAGUCCUUGUUGCACUAGCAAUGCGCGCAUCUUAACACGCCACAGGCUGAAAUCGUUUCUUCCAUUAAACUUUUCAAUCUCAUACUUGGUCGACGAAGUUGCCAUAGCGAGAUUCAGAUUGAUCCAAGACCUUGAAGCUCUGAUACCAGUUUGUUGGGAAAUUGCGGAAUUGUCUCUAAAGAAUUGCCCAAGAUCUAACCCAAUCAAUAGAAUAAAGAAAGAAAGAAAUCAAGCACACCCACAAGAACACAAGAAUUUACGUGGUUCGGUCUUUUGAUGACCUACGUCCACGGGCACAACAACAGAGAAAAAUUCACUAAGAGAAAAAUCAGGAGAUUACAAGAACAGUCUCAAACUCAUAACCCUUAUCCCACGUACACCUAAAUCACUCUCUCUAAAUCUAGGUGAUAAUUAUUCUUUAACCCAUAGGGUCCUUUUAUAGUAUCAAAUACAAUAACCUUAUCCUAAUAUAAUUAAGAAUCUUAUCCUAAUAGAAUUAGAAAUUGUUAUUCUAAUCUAACUAGAUUUAAAGACUAUUUAUAAAGUAUACUAAUUUAAUUAGAAUUAAACAAUCCUAAUUAAAUCCCAAUUCAAGACUAUCCUAACAAAGCUUCCAAUGAAUCCAGGAAGAAUAGAUUCACUCACAAGGGAACCAUCAGCAGAAGAACAAAAGGGACCCAUGCGAGGGAGCAAUGGUUAAAGAUGAGAAGUGAGCCUUUGAAUCAGAAAAGCCACUUGACAUUUCAUCUUUUUCACGUUUUUUCUUUUUUAUUUUCUUUUUUGUAAAUUUUCCUUCUUUUUUUUUAAUUGAUAUGAAUCCAAAACUAUUCAAACUCGUUGUCAUCUGAACUCGAAAUGACUUGAUUCUAAGCUACUCGUUUGCCAACUCUAUGUAUAUCUCUUUUUUCUGAAUCAGCAGGCAGGGCAGUAGCAUACUGUCUUGUUGCUGUGAUGUGGUUUCUGAUGAUUGUCUGGCGGACAAGAGACAAUUGAGGACAUUUCCAAGGCCAUAUUACUAUCUACUGCUAUAAAAUAUUCACAUACAAAUCCAUGCGCAGGCAUAGUUUCAAAUCUCUCUGGAUAAGCCUUUUGUUUAUAUAUCAGCUAGUUGAACCUCAGUGUUACCGUGCCUGAGCUAAUAUGUCAGAGUCAAAAUGUCACUGAAUGAUAACAAAGGUUCAAAUUUUGUUACAACAGUGCAAGUUUUGUUGUUUCAUUGGCAUUCUAUUGAGCUAGAGCUGCUAAAGAAUUUUUUUUUUGAUAUUGCAUAUGUUGGCAAUUUUUGCCGGUCCUGAUCGGGCGGGCUGGUCAAAAUUGUAAAGCAGUUGUAAAUACUAGCAAAGAUAUCAUUGUUAACAGGUCUGGUUAUAUAUCAUAGCGCAUCUUUGAGAAUGGAGUUCAUGCUGAUUAAUCGUGUGCAAACUGUGAUGUCCACAUUUAUUGGGUUUUGAGAGGCGUAUGAACUCGACUAAAUGGCCGCUGUGUUCUGUCCAUAAACUGAAACAGGGGACUGUACUCCCCAUAAAACUUGCUGGAAAUAAUUUUAUAGUUGCAUUACAGGGGAGAUCACCGUGUAAGCCUGUACUGUUUAUACCAUUUGGUUUAGUUUUAAUAUGUUGUAAUUUCGUAUUGUAUGCAUCUUUUCCUUUUGAAACGAUUGAUGUUUUUAACCUUUAAAGGCAUCUCAUAAAGCGUGAUUCAGACUAUCUUGCCUGGAUAUAAUUUGUUUCAAACCUGUUACAAAUUUGUUUUAUUAGCUUGAUCUUGAGCAAGCCAGAGCUGGUUCCCGGGUUCACCUAGUCCCUGUGAAUUUUGAAUAUAAAUCAGUAGUAUGCGUAUGAUUUCUUAUCAUUUUAUUUAAUUUUUUCUAGGUAAAUUUAUAACUAAUUUUAAUCUUUACCAAUGAUGGAGUCAAGACUUAUGCUUAAUCUAGGUAAAGUUAUUUCCCCUUCUGCAAAUUUCUCUAGUUUGAAAACAUGAACAUCUUCACCCCCAUAUCUCAGGGUCAUGGUGAAGUGCCGGAGUUGAAAUGAAAAAUUCAGUAUUUUCUUCUUGGAGAAUUUUGUUACAGAAAAAAAGGUACAAGGCAAUCAUACUCGUCUCUAAUCAACAUCUACAAAAAUAUCAGAAUAGAAGAGGAAAUAGUACUCAGAGGAGUACCCUCUUCAUACUUGAUUACUAGAACAUUUAGUUCCAAUACCAUCAUUUACUACUGCAUGGAUAGAAACAAGGACUGAGUGGGAUGAGUUACUGGCUGCAGCCUCUAUAAACAACUGAUCUACAAGGCAUUAUUCCAUUGACAACUCUAGGCUUCAUUCUACAGAGAAUGAAGUAUUACCUGAAUUCCAUGUUGUGGCUGAAGCAAAAGAAGGGUACAUGGUGAGUGGCUGUAGGUUGGGGAAAGGGAAAUGGUGUAUCGCUGUAGGAUCAUCGAAAGUGCAGUCUUUGCUUCUGUCAUUGCAAAGCUCAUACCGACGCAAGAUCGAGGUCCCAAUCCAAAGGGAAUAAAUGCAGCUGCAUUAUGCUUGGUGGCAUUUGAGAUCCCUUCUGAGAAUCUCUCAGGUUUGAAGAGAUUGGCAUCAUCUCCCCAUAACUGAGGGUCAUGGUGAAGUGCCACGAUUGGGACAACCACAUGCAAAUCAGCUGGCAGGAUGAGCUUUCCCAAUUGAACUUCAUUCCCAACUUUUCUUACCAUGCUAUUUAUAGGAGGAUAUAAUCUUAAAGUUUCAUUAAUGAUCAUAGUCAUCUGUAUGCAGCAGAAGAGGAAUAAACAUAUCAAAUCUAUUCUGAUUUUCAAAAAUUAAAUCUACUAAAUGUUAAGUGAUGUGUCCAAGCAGAAUGAUUAGACUUGCUUACAGUCUUUAGUCUGCCAAUGCCUUCAGAAUGUGGAUUUUGGUUACCAAAGACCUCAAUCACCUCUCUUCUUGCUUUCUCCUGCCAAUCUGGAUUGAUUGCUAAAAGCAAGACUGCCCAUGCAAGUGCAGAAUUAGUAGUUUCCUGUCCAGUAAAGUAAAAUGUCUUGCAUUCAUCUACCAAAUCUUGUCCUGAUAGCCUGUUCUUCUUGUCAGCAUCAUGGUAAGCACUUAAAAGUAAUCCAAGAAAAUCAGUGCCAAAGCUGUUGGCUUCUCCAUUUAAUACUUCCUCUUCUCUUUUCUUAACUAUCUCCAUCACAGAAUUGUGUAUUCCUUUUACAAGUUUUUCUGAUUCAAUUUCAUCAGCAGUUUUACAGAAGUUACUGCAAAAGCAAAAAAAAAUUACCACCAACAUAUGAAGGCAAAAUAAAACAAAAAUCCACCUAGCUAUACAAGAGUAGUUUAACCAUUUGGGAAAAAGCGGCAUAAUAUGACUUCUAGUUAGUCUCCUUUCUCAUUAAAUCUGAAAUAACCUUAAGAGGAACUUACCUAAUGACAGGAAACUUAGCUUUAAACAGGUUUCUGUUUGUCAAGACAGACAACUUUAACAGCAUGUCAAAAAUCUUUUUCCCAUCUAAGUAACUGCUACCAAAAGCUGUUCUUGAUAUGACUUCUGAAGUCAACAACCUGAAGUCUUCAAACACAUCAAUUUCUUUGCCUUCAAAUUGUUUCCACCUUUCCAGCAUGGUCUCAACACUAGCAAUCACUGCUGGUGUCAUGCUCUGCCAAAACCAUCACCCACUCUUAUGAGUAACUUAUACUUUGCCAGGAUUUGGUGCUUCUCUAAUGCAUAAAAUUCACAAAAGAUGAUAUAACUAUGAAGUAUCUUACACCAACACAUCUAUAACAAAAAUAAUUGUAGUAUUUGAUCAGAAGUUUACUUUUAAGCUGUCCCCAUGAAAAGCAUAAUUGGCCAACUUCCUUUGCCUCGCCCAUUUCUCACCUUCGGAUGUCACAAGCCCAUCCCCUAGUAUCAUAAGAGCGAAUUCGUCUUCAUUCCUCUUCCUUUCUCUACUUGUCCUUUUUGGAAAAGCUCUUUCACUACUUUUCAACACCUCUUUGACAAGCUCAGGCUCUGUGAUAAACAGUUGAGCUGUAGUACCUCCCCAAGAAAGGUAGUUUUUCCCUACUUCCACAGAAACAAGAGAAGGUUAAAUUGUUCUUAGAAAACGGUCUUAAAACUAAAGGGGGGAAUUUAAUCUUACCAUAUGAGUUGAUCCGUGAAUAAACAGGAGGAUUGACUCUGGGAAAUAUAUCAUGUGAUAAACUAGCCAUAGGCUUGCUUAAUGCUUCCUGUUUCAUUUUUACGGUCUCUUUGUUGUUUCCAUGGAUGAAUUUGUAAGGAGGUCCUUUGAUUCCUUGCAAAUUCAUUGCAUACUGUAUCCGAAGUGGUGUCCACCAAUACUUGUGUAGGAUUUUGAUCAGAGCUAUGACCAGAUACAGGCACAGAGAGCCUGUAAGAAGGGCUGAUAGAUUUGCUGCCAUGGAAGUCAUUUGCAGAACCUGACAAGGAAAAUAGAUUUUCCGAUGAGUUCAUUCCCGGAGUAUCAGAUUUAUGACAUUUAAAAUCGGGUCACUUUUGCAUUUAGAAUUAUGGUCUAAUCUAUUGAUAUAUUCAAACAAUUUAUUUAAAGUGUAUAACAUAGGCAGCCAAACACCCUCAAUUUACCAUAAUUUGGUUAGUUGCCAAACAAUUUAUGAAAGGGAGAAUCCAUUUGCAAAAUAGGUGUAGGGAUUAAUUAAAUACACAGCUGUCAGAAAAGUAUGAGAUAAAAAUUUCAUGCAAAAGUCUAAAAAGGUACUUGCAAUAAAGAUCUCAAGAGUGAUGGGCACCCAACACUUGUGGUCAACCUACAAGUCUUGGGUACUAACCAUUAGAUCAUAUGGUGAUUGCAAGUGUUAAUUUAUAUUUUUCAUCUCGAGGUAUAUAGUGUUUGGUUCUUAUAAUGUGUAAGGUAAGUUGAAUGAUUUGAUUAGUUAAAUAAAGAAUCGAUAGUUCAAUGUUUGGUCAACCACUCAAUUUAGACUAGAACCAAUCACACUCAUUAAGUGAAGGUUCAAAUCUGUGAGACACCUUUAUUUAUGAACAAAAUUCUCAAAGUUGUUGGUAUUUGAAACUUUUAAAAAUGGUGGGGGAUUGUUGGUGUAAUUUCAAAAUAAAAGGUUCUCACAUAACGGAUAUUUAUUUUAGCUCAAAAGUUAUGUCAGAUAAUAAAAGAUUAUGUUAAGCUUAAAGGUUAUGUCACAGAAAGUACCAGUGUAACUAUUAGAUUGUAAGUAGGUUUUUCAUAUAAAUAGUUAUAUUUCUUAAUAAAGUGAUAAUUGGAAAACCAUCUCUGAAUCCAGAAAUUAUGAGACAAUUGAAAAACAUCACAGUUAAAAAGUUUAUAUAUGAAAAGUUAUUUUUUCAUAUUGUAGCUCAAAAAUUAUGUUUUAUGGAAUGAAUGAUUAUUCUCUCAUUAGAUGAUUUUUGAAACAAUACUUUUAUCUAAGGAUUAUGUUUUACAAAUUGCAAAGGUAUCUUUAAGAUAAAAAGGUGUCUUGAUGAAAAGGUUGUAACUUCGAAGAAGAGAUACUUGCAAGCCUAUUUAAAAGACUUACGGCUAACCAUUUUGAUACACCAAAACAAAUAAGACAAGUGUAGAAAAAUCAACAGAGAUAGAAGUGUUAUGUUUUGAAAAUAAAUAUAAACACUUAAGUUUUCAUCAUUUAUCAAAAAAAUCUAAAUUCUUUAUAAUCUACUUGCUACAGAAAGUAAGUUUUAAGUUUGAACAACUUUGCAAAUCUUUGGGUGUAUCUAGCGGUCUAUUCUUAUAAAAGUGUAAAAAUGAAGUUAGACGUUGACUUAAUUAUACCUCUAAGGUUAUUCAUAUUAUUUUCUUUUUGCAUAGCGAAUGAUGAGGGCGAAAUAAGGCUUAAAGAUAAUGUCUAUUAUGUCUUGAAGUCAAUUUUGUGUAUUCCUUAAAUUUCAUCAAAACCUUAUUUGCACCAACAAAGAUUGCGCAUCGGCUUCCAAGAGUUUUUCUUCUCCAAGUUCUCUUGUUGAGCAUGAGAAGAUCAAUGCUCAACUUAAGGCUAAUGAAGGUUGGGGCUAGGCUUUCAACUUGAAAUCUUAGCUUAGAGCCUUAGACCUAACUUGAAAGUGUCAUCGAGUCUAAAUUUUGAUUCUAAUCAGGCUCAAUAUAUCUAUAGGAAGUGUCCAGUAUAUACUUGUCGAGACUGAGAAGACAAUGGCUUUCAUUUCUUGUGAGAAGCUUCUACAUUACUAGGCAGAACAUGCCAUAAAUUUACAUUAGUUACAACCUAGAUUACCUUUGCCAAUGUCACAUCUUACAAGUUACAGAUAGGGAAGAUAAAGAUAUCAUAUUGCUGAUUCCUUGUAUAUGUAAUUUCUUUAUUAAAGUCAUUGAUCCUUGUUAAAAUCAAUCUGAGUUAUGUUUUCUUGGCUUACUUAACUUGAUAAGAGUGCUCAAGUAUGUCAAAAUUCUAGGAUUUGCCAAAGGGUCCGAAAACAGAAAGAAUGACACAAUUGAAUGGUGUAUAUAUGGAGGUGUGAUAAAAUGAAUUUGAAUUUCGAAAAUUUAUUUUAAAAAAAUCUGAAUUAUAAUUCAGUUAAAUCCGAAUUGAUAAAAAAUUUACAGACUUAAACUUCAAAUGAUUUUAAUUUGAAAGUUCCAACUUAAAGUAGUAAUAACCUAAAUUUAAUAUUAAAAAUGACAAAUUUUAUCAAUAUUCAUUUUAAUUUAAUAUGUAUAUGAAUUUAAAUUGAUUUGAACGUUGUCACCUGAACUCGAAAUGACUUGAUUGGAAACGACGCGGUUGCCAACUCUAAAAAAUAUUCACUUACAAAUCAGGAGGCAGGCCAGUAGCAUACUGUCUUGUUGCUGUGAUGUGGUUUCUGAUGAUUGGCUGGCGGACAAGGGACAGGUGAGGGAAUUUCCAAGGCCAUAUUACUGUCUACUUCUAAAAGAUAUUCACAUACAAAUCCAUGCGCAGACAGAGUUGAAACUUUUUUGUUUGGAAUAUUAUACUAAUGAUUGAAAUGCUAUCAAUAUAUUGCCUGGAAUUACGUAUUAAAUGCAGCUGGUUUUGUCGAGUAAAGGGUUUUAAGGAAAAAUACCAAAUUUAUCAUUAUAAGAUGAUUCAAUACUGAAUUGUGUUAGCUCAUGGAAUAUGACGGAGAAUAAGGCUAUGGCUUUUGUCAGCUCAUGAAGGAGUAAUAGCUGCAUUGGCUGUAUCCCCUGUGAAAAGGGCAGGUUUCUUCUGCCAGUCAUGAUCACAAGUUUGUCAAAUUGUGGAAGUGAUACGAUUGCUAGCAGAAUUCCCAAGUUUUAAUCAGCAACAAUUGUUGGUUCGUAGCUGUUCAGGUAGCUCAAAGGUGUCCAUUUUGUGGUUUGUCCCAAUGUAACUACCCUUGUCUGCUGUAUGCAUGCUAUGUAACCUUGUCUCGCUAAUGGUUAAUUUGGACAUUCCUGCUUAAGUUCAUUAACAUUUUUCACAAAAAAAAAAAAAAAGAAAACUGAAUUAUGUCACUACACUUUAAUUGUAUUGUAUUUUGUUAUCAUAAUUUUUAUUUCCAUUAAACUCUGUAAAUGAAAUAUUUUGUCUUUAUUUUUAUUCAAAAAUAACUAAAACAAAAAUAUUUAAAAUAAACGUAUACUGACAAAAUUUAAUGCAAUUGAAACACAAUUGCAAGAUUCAACGUUCAACCAUAAUAUUGUGAUAAAUUUGGUAUUCAUCUUAAGAUUUUUAUUCACCAUGCCAUGAGGUUAUUUGGUUCAUGAUAUUCACAAAAUUGCUACAAGAAUUUCAAAGCUGAGAAGCCUUAGAUUGUUUACUAGGAGCAGAGCAGGGAUAUAUCAGGCUUUAGUACUCAAAGGAAGAUAAUCUUGUUUCUUUGUUGCCAAUACAUGAAAUCACUAAUACUUAUAUCAUCAUACAUGGCUGCUAAAUACAGUUAAAUGGGAGAACAUAACUGGGAACUGGUUAUCAUCAGUUUUUAUUUGAUUAUAUAUUUUACCAUUUCGGAGAUUAACAGCUGAGUACUUUAAGCAUCAUUAGGCAGUGAAUGAAACAACAACUGAAUUCCAUGUUGUGGCCUAAGUGUGAGAAGAGCUAAGGGUGCGUGGACAUAGGCAGGGGAGAGGGCAAUGUUGUAGCGUUGCAGAAUCAUGAAGAUAGCCAUCUUUGUUUCUGUGAUCGCAAAGCUCAUGCCCACGCAAGAUCGAGGUCCCAUUCCAAAGGGAAUAAAUGCACCCGCAUUGUGUUUGGUAGCCUUGGCAAUCCCUUCAGCGAAUCUCUCUGGUUUGAAAAGAUGAACAUCAUCUCCCCAUAAUUCAGGGUCAUGGUGAAGUGCCAUGUUCGGGAUGCUGAACUCUAUAUUUGUAGGCAGCAUGAGCUUUCCCAAUUGAACUUCUCUUCCAACUCUCCUUGCGAUGCCAUUUACAGGAGGAUACAAUCGUAAAGUUUCAUUGAUGAUCAUGGUCAUCUGUUUACAGAUUAGAAGUAAAAGGUAUCAAAUUAUAAAUUCCCUGUUUAAUACCCUGAAUGCUCAAAACUAGUGCAUGCUAUUAAAGUGGUUAGAGCUUGAAAUUUGCUUACAGUUUUUAGUUUGGCAAUCCCUUCAGGAUGUGGAUCUUGAUUACCAAAUACCUCAAUCACCUCUCUUCUUGCUUUCUCUUGCCAAUCUGUAUGGAUUGCUAAAAGCAGGACUGUCCAUGCGAGCAAGGAAUUAGUUGUUUCUUGUCCAGCAAAGUAGAAUGUUUUACACUCAUCUACCAAAUCUUCAACGGAGAGCCUGUUUUUCUCGUCCAAGUCAUGAUAGGCAUUUAGAAGUAAUCCCAGAAAAUCACUGCCAAAGCUCUCAGCUUCUCCAGCCACUACUUUCUCUUCUCUUUGUUUAACAAUCUUCAUCACAGAAUCAUGUAUUUCUUUUGCAAGUUUCUCCGAUUCAAUUUCAUCAGCAUGUUUCCAGACGUAGCUGCAAAAGCAAACCAAAGUCUGCCUUAUAUAUGGAAAAAACUAGGAUAGAAAGAAAAAAUAUCCUCUCAGACCUACAGCUUUAUGCAUAAAAUAGAGCCUUCUGGUUAUUAGUCUCCAGAGUAAAGCUUAGAGGAGCUUACCUGAUGCCAGGUAUCCUGGCUUUAUAAAGAUUUCUGCUUGCGAUUACUGACAACUUCAUCAACGUCUCAAAAAUCUUCUCGCCCUCCAGGUAACUGCUACCAAAAGCUGUUCUGGAUAUCACUUCUGAAGUCAAUAAUCUAAAUUCCUGGAACACUUCGAUCUCCUUCCCUUCCUGGCCUUUCCACUUCUGUAGCAUUGUUUCAACGCUAGCAAUUACUGCUGGAGUCAUGUUCUGCCAAAACCAUCCUCCACUUUGUAAGUAUCACUACUGGAAGAUCACCAAAAUUUUAGUUUGCAAAUGUUCCAAGUACAAUAAAUAAUUCAAUCACCAAGCCUAUGACAGCAAAAACUUAUAGUACAGUGGUUUUCAUAGGAAGUUUUACUUUCAAGCUCUCCCCAUGAAAAGCAUAAUUGGCCAAUUUCCUUUGCCUUGCCCAUUUUUCUCUUACGGUCGUAGCAAGCCCGUCCCCCAGUAUCUUGCUAAGGAAAUAUGUAACUUUCCUCUUUGGAAAAGCUUUUUCACUAUUUUUCAGCACCUCUUUGAUGAGAUCUGGUUCUGUAAUUACCAGCAGAGCUCGAACUCCAUUCCAACUAAGAUAAAUUUUCCCUAAUCAAAGAACACAGAAAAAAAGAGAGUUAAAUCUCUUCCUGGAAGCAGAACUUAGAAAUCCUAGCGGAAAAUGACAUCAUGUCUCACCAUAUGUGUUGAUGCAGGAGUAAAUAUGAGGCAGCACUCUGGGAAAUAUAUCAUGUGUCAAGGCCAUAGGUUUGCUUGAUGCUUCCCUUAUACUUUCGACAACUGCUUUGUUGUUUCCAUGGAUAAACUCAUACGGAGGUCCUUUAAUUCCCUGUGACCUCAGUAUAUUCUGUAUCCGGUGGGGAAUCCACCAGUAGUUGUAGAAGGCCUUGAGCAGAGCUCGGAGGAAGUAAAGGAAGAAUGAACCUGCGACAAGGAUUAAAAGCUUUCCCAUGGAGUUCAUUUCUUUCUCUUAUCCACUACAUUUGAGGUGUUGUGGUUCUUUGCUUUUAUGCACGUUUAGGGCUGAAGGCAUUUUGCUUAUAUGUAAAAGCCGGCUUUUCAUUUGGUGCGAUUUAGAAUUGGUCAAAAGAACAAUCUAGUCCAUGUAAUCUCUAACUGUAUCCAAUUUAAUCCCGAUACUCAAAAUUAAAAUAAUUUAGUCCUUUAAUUUUAAAAAUUUAGUCCCUCUUUUUAAAAAAAUUUAAUUUUACCGUUAAAGAGGAUGAUGUCGAUGAUAACGUGACACAUUUUGAUGAUAUGGAGUUGAAAUGAUGGCGUGGCAUACCAUGUGGCAUCGACAUGAUGACGUGACAAUAUCACAUGGCAUCGACAUGAUAACAUGACAAUGUCACGUGAUACUAAUAUGAUGACGUGGUAAUGACAUGUUGACAUGUCAACUUUACGUGGUAGAUCAAAAAAAUUUUCAAAAUAAAAAAUUUUACCAUGUCAUAAAGAUUAAAUUGAAAAAAAAUAUAUAUAGUACAGAGACUAAAUUGAACAAAAUUAAGAUGAUGAAGGACUACAUUGAAAAAAAUAUUUGAAAAAUAUAAAUCUUUAAGUAGAUUAUUGAUAUACUUAUUAAUAAGCCAAAUAUUUUAGCGUAAAAGAUUUAUGGUGUUAAAAAAUAUAUAUAAAUAUUUUCUUACUUCAUUAUUUGAUUCUAGAAUGUAUACAUUAAUUUAUUUAUUUUUUACAAAAAUUAAGUUUGAAUUCUUCUUGUGUAAAAAAAAAUUUGAAAAAAUUUCAUACCUAAAGUCAAAUUUCGAUGAAUAACUUGCAUUAUGUUAUUACAAAAUAAUAUAAAAUGACUAAAUAAAAUUUUUUCUUCUAUUUAUAAUAGUAUAAAAAUUUGAAAUUUAUUUAACUUAGUUUUUAACGUGAAGUGAACUCAAAUUAGCAAAAUAUGUUGAUUUAGUAAAAAAAAUGAAGAACGAAGAUAUGGAGUUAGUGAUGAUUAUAAAAAUAAUUUCUUAUUCUAACUUACUUAAUUUGGACAUGACAAAUCUCUUAUUAUAACCAUAGAAUUUGAGCUCCACCUUUUUAAUUUUUUAUUUAUUUUUUAUUUCUUUGUUUUGUUUAAUAUUUCAAGUUAUAUUUUUUAAGUUGAAAUUUCCUAGAUUAAAGAUUAGGGGUGAGCAAAUGGGUGGAUUGAGUGGUUUAGUCCACCAUAUCUAAGGACCAAAUGGACCAAUCAUUUUUAAAAAAUCAAUCAAAAUCGACCAAAUAUAAUGGAAGGUUAAACCGACAAAAUAUAGAAUUGGUUUGGUUGGUUCGGUUUUGAACCAAUAGACCAAAAUUUUAUCACAUUUUUUUUUUACAAAUUAUAAUAUUAAAACUUAUAAACUUCAUUCAUAAUUAUAUAUAUAUGAAAUUAAUGAUAAAACUUAUAUGUUAUAAUAUUUUAUAUCAAAGUUUGUAUAAAUAAUAACAAUUAUGAACUAUAUGUUAUAAAAUCUAAGGUGAUAGCUAAUAAGCUUAUUAAGUGUAAUCGUAUAAAUAAAGUUUAUUAUAAGUUAUAGUAAUGCUUAUGUAUAAAUUAAAUAUAUAUAAUAUAUUACAUUAUUAUAUAUAUAAUUAAUGAUACAAAUUUUAUGUUAAAAUAUUUUAUAUAAUCAUAUAAAUAAAGUAUAUUAUAAGUUAUAGUAAUACUUAUGUAUAAAUUAAAUAUAUGUAUAUAUAAUAUAUGACUUUAUUAUAUAUAUGCAUAUACAAAAUUAAUGACAUAAUUUAUAUGUUAUAAUGUUUUAUAUGAAAGUUUGUAUAAAUAAUAACUAAUUAUAAACAAUAGGUUAUAAAAUCUAAGGUGAUAACUAAUAAAGUUAUUAAAUAUAAUCAUACAAAUAAAGUUUAUUAUAAAUUAUAGUAAUGCUUAUGUAUAUGUAUAUAUAAUAUAUCUAUACAGUUAUCUAUAUAGUUAUAUAUAUAUAUAUAUAUAUAUAUAUAUAUAUAUUCAUACCACUUUAUAUUACGACAUAUUACUAAGGUUUAAUAAUUAUAAUAUAUUAAUAUGUAGGAUAUUUACUAUUAUAUAUUAUAAUAUUAACAUAUAACUUAUAUUAUUUAAAAUAUAUAACUUGUAAUUUCAUAUUCAUAUAAAUUUAUAAAUAAAUAUAUAUGACUAAUAUUAAAUUACUAUGAUUAUGAUUUGUAUACGUACAUAUAAUACUCUAAUAUAUUUUAAAUAUAUUAUUAAUUAAGUUUACUAUCAAUUUUUUUAAUAUAUAAAAAAUAUAUAUGACUAUAUAUACAAAUAUAUAAAAAAUUAAUUUGGUUUUUUGUGUGGAUUGGUUUAAAAAUUUUAAAAUCGAGAACCGACCAAAUAACCAAUUGGACCAAAUAUUUUGGACCAAUUGAUUCAAUGGACUAAUUAGACUGAAUUAUUUUACUCAAAUCGCAUUUGGUUUGGAUAGGUAAUUGGUCUGGAUUGGUUUUGCUAACCUUUAUUAAAGAAUAUAUUUAUUGUUGAUAAAGUUCAAUAUAAUUGUAAAUAUUUGUACCAUUUUAUUUUAUUAAUAAAUUUUUUGUAGAUCCAAAUUAAUAAUUUAAAUAUAAAUUUAGCAUAAUUUGAUUGUGGUAUUUGAACUUAAAUAAAAUUGUUUUAUAAGAAAUUUUAAAUAAAUUUAAAUAAAAGGUACAUUAGGUAAGAGUUGAAUAAUUUCAUAAAAAAUGGGUAUUUAUAAAUUGUAAAAGUUGUAACUAAAUCAAUGUAUUUUGUUAAUUUGAGUUUAGCUUAAGUUAAAAACUAAGUUAAAUAAAUUUCAAAUUUUUAUACUAUUAUAACUAGAAAAAAAAAGAAUUUAUUUAGUUAUUUUAUAUUAUUUUAUUAUAAUAUAAUGUAAGUUAUUCAUCUAAAUUUGACUUUAGGUAUGAAAUUAUUUUGAAAUUUUUUUUUAGAAGGAGAAUUCUAACUUAAUUUUUGUAAAAAAUAUAAAUUAAUAUAAAUAUUCUAUAAUCAAAUAAUCAAGAAAGAAAAUAUUUAUAUAUACUUUUUAAUACCAUAAAUCUGUUACACUUAAAUAUUUAGCUUAUUAAUAAAUAUAUCAAUAAUCUACUUAGAUAUUUGUAUUGUUUAAAUAUUUUUUUUCAAUUUAGUCCCUCAACAUCUUAAUUUGUUCAAUUUAAUACCUAUACUAUAUAUUUUUGUUCAAUUUAAUCCCUAUAACGUGGCAAGAUUUUUAUUUUAAAAUUUUUUUUGAUCUGUCACGUGGCACAAGCAUGCUAACAUAUCAAUGCCAUGUCAUCAUAUUAGUGCCACGAGGCAUUGCCACAUCAUUACGUCGGCGCCACGUGGUAUUCCACAUCAUCAUCUCAAUGCAUCAGCACUAAAAUGUGCCGAAAUGUGCCAUAUUAGUGCUGAUGUCAUCUUUUUUAAUGACAAAAUUAGAUACCGUUAGGGAGAGAGAUUAAAUUAAAGAAAUUUUCAAAAUUAAAGAACUAAAUUGCUUCGAUUUUAAGUAUAGAAAUCAAAUUGAACAAAAUUGAAAAGUACAAGAAUUGAAUAGGUCUUUUGACUAUUUGAAAUUAUUGCCUUCAAAAAAUACACCCACUUUUUAAGUAAAGGGCUUAACAAUUCAACUACAAAUAUUCAUGGCAUGCUAUACAUAAUGCCUAAUGCCUCACUCUUAUGACUCUUAUUGAAUAAUUGUGACGCAAUAAUAGUAGGUGAUGUACUCUCUUAUCUCGCAAGUCAUGUUAUGCCAAUCACUAAACUGCAGAUUAUAUUGGAUUCAACUUAGCAACAAUUUUGGCAUUUAUAUGAUCAAUGAAAUAAAUAAAGAUUAAUUAUAAUUAACAAUUAGGGUUCUUCAUCCUAUGAACAGGAAAAAAAAGGUGUAAUAAUCACUUCAUAUCAUGCAUUAAUAUGAACAAUAAUGAACUCAACUUGAUAAAAUUUGGUUUUAAUAGAUGUUAAGCUUUGAUUUAGAGUUCACUGGGUAAUAGGUGGUAUAUACAUUAGGACUUUCUGUUUUUUUUUCUUUUUUUUGGGGGGGGACACCUUGUAUUAAUUCAUUCAAAUUUUUUUUGAAAGGUAUUAAGUCAUUCAAUUUUAACUACUCAUUGUAAGAAUUCAAAAGGGAUAAGGACCUCCAAGUGGGGCUUUUUACUUUAGUCAAAGACUGCUGCAAAACGUGAUAAGAAUUUUACAUGUUCAAGACUAUUUUCCAUAGGUUUAUUUUAGUCAAAGACUCUUGCACAUCACGUUAUGUAACAUUUCAAAGAAAUAAAUGGUGAGAGUCAACAAGAUUGUGUUAUAUAUAGUCCUCCUGUCCCAUUUUAUUUUUUCUUAUUUGAUUUUCAUGAAAUUUUAAAAAAAUUAAUUUUGAUGUAUUUUAUAUUAAAAUUUCAAAUUGUAUUAUACACGUUAUGUUCCAUGGAUUUUAAUCUCAAAAAAUUUUAAAAAAAUUAUGAAAAAUAAAUUGAAAAUGUAUCUUGUAGUACGUGUAUAACUUUGUCCUAUAAUACAAGCUGUAGUAGAUAUAUAGCCAAAAUCAUUAUCAGUACUCAAUUAUAAAAUCAAUUAAAUUGUCAUAAUCACCCCUUUGCACGGGAAAAGAAAAACGCAAGGAAAGAAGAAAAAAAGUUGCAAUAACCCUGGGAAAAUGUCCUUCAUCAGAUAUAUUAUAUACUUUGCAUUAACAUAAUCUUCUAGUCAUCAUCAUCAAUCAACAUCUGGCUUUUGUUUAUUUUUGGACUGUUUGCAGCUUGCUCUUAUCUUUUCUCACGGUCGGUGGAGCUGGCAAAGCAGACAUUGGCCAGCUACAAUAUGUUAUAUUAGAAGCUUCAGUAUUACUAGGCACUAGACAGUACAUCCUUAUUUCUCACGUCUUACAACUGAUUGGAAGGAUAAAAAACUAAAACCCACCUAAUUUCUCUUGUUUUAUAUUAAAAUGAUUGAUCCUUGUUAAAAAUCAAUCUGAAUUAUCUUUUCUUGUUUUACUCGUUGACCAGAGAUACGCUUACAAAUCAAGUGUGCCUAAUCCUAGAUUUUACUGAAGGGAAGCAAAACAGCAACAAAUGACAUUGAUUAAUGUUAAAUGGCCUAUCUAUAUCUCUUUGUCCAAAUACGCAGCUGCUGCACACUGGCUUCGGCCUUGAUUUGUAAUGAUUGCCUGGACACCUGAGGAAAUUUCAAGGCCUUUGUGCUCUCUAGUUCUUAAAAAAAUUGACCUAGAACGUCCAUAUUCAGACAUUGCAGAAACUUUUGUGCUUGGAAGUUAAUUAUACUCAGGAGAGAUUGAACUGAUAUCAAUAAUAUAUUGUCUGGAUUUAUGUGUUAAAUGCUGCUGAUGUUUUCGGUCAGGAGAGAGCUAGAGCAUUUUCAAAGGGGAGGUCAAACAGAAAGAGAUAUUAAAUAGUUAAAGAGAAUUUUAUAUAUAAUUCAAUUAUUACUUAUCUAAAAAAUUAAAUAAAAUUUAGAAAAUAUUGAACAUAUAAAAAAAUGCAUAUUAGCAGUAAUAGUAGUGUCAUUUAUAUAUAUGACUGAAUGAAACUAUAAAAAAAAUUCUCUUUUACUCUUUAUGCACAAGAGUGGAAAAGAAAAUAAUUUUUCAAACUUAAAUGAAUUGCCUCUUAACUUUGUGUGUCUUAACUCUCAUUUUAUUUUCUAUUUACUUCUUAAAUUGCUAAUUAACAUAUUAAGUUAUUAGAUUAAACUAUUAAAAUAUAAUAUGUUUGUCGUAACGUGCGGGUCCGAGAACCCGUCCGCCAGACGCUGGCGAAAAUAAAUCGGUUUAGGAGUCGCCACCAAUAUUUUUUUUUAUCUAGAUGUGAUUGGUCACCUAUUAACCAGAUUCUAAUCGACAAAGUCCUAAAUUAAUUUUAGGUCCGUCGAAAGAACGAGAACUGAUCUACGUUUUUUAGAGAUAGGUUCGGGAGUGCGGUUACGCACGGAGAAUGGUUAGCACCUCCGUGGCACCCGUUCCACGAACGGUACCAUUUAAUCUUAAGUUAUCCUAUUAUAGCCUACUUUUGAUUUAUUCCCUACUUAUUAACUAAAUUUUUAUUAAACUGACUGCCUGAAUCUUUUAUUUGGUUUUACAUAUGCACGUGAUGCAAGCGUAAAAUGAUGUCAUGACUCGUUUAUUUUAAAUAAUGGGAUCAGUAAUCUUUUAUUGAAAAAUUAUUUGAAGACCAUCCCAACGCUUUGGUGAAGUCUUGAAAUUCUCCUCACCUAGAGAUAUCCUGGGAAGAACUCAUCUUUACAAGCUCUUCGGGGAAAUCCCAUCAUCGGAAUUUUCGCACCAUUUGCAAGAUAAAUGUGGCGUGCUAUGACAGGAUAAAGUGAUGAUGUCUACAUGCACGCGUUUAUUGACUUAAGCGGUUCAUAAUUCAUCCAAUUAUGUGUUUAAUAAUUUAUCACCUUAUUUAUAUAUUUAUUUUGUCAUUUUUUUUCAUGGAUUAUUUAUUUAUUUUAUUAUUAUUAUUAUUUUUUGUUUUUAUUUUCUAUUUAGAUCCAUAUCUUUUAAUUAACAUUGUUGAUUAACAUUUAACUUGAUUAUAUAACUUAUCAAAUAAACAAUUAAUUAAUUUUUUCAAACGAUUAAAUUAACUUUAUUUAGUAAUAUUUAUUUAAGCUAAUUAACUAAUUUAAGUUUGGAUGCAACAUUAUGUAAAUUUAUUUUUUUUUUAACAAUGACUAUUUGACUUAAUAGGUAUUGGAGUUUAGAGUUCGGAUUUAUCCCGACGCUUCAGUGAAAAUCCGUCUCAAACUUCGCACAAAAAAAAAAUCCACUUAAAAAAAGCAACUCUUUGCCUUUCUUAGGUGGAGUUUCUCAAACAAUUAUCUUAUUUUUCUUAUAAUUUUUAUAUUCGUAUCAUGUUACUGUUUUUUUGUUUUUUUUAUUUAUAUAUAUAUAUAUAUAUAUAUAUAUUAUAUUUACAAGUAUCUAAAUAUGAAUAUUUCUUUCUUUUUUUUUAUUCCUCUCAUUUGUUUAUUAUCAUUACUAUUUUUAACAUAAACUAAACCUAUGAUUAGUUUUCUUAGUAUUUAUUUUAUGUAUAUAUGUAUAUAUGUUCUUCUAAACUAUGUAUCUUUACUAUUUUUUUUAUUAUGACUAUCAUUGUUUUUUUAUUUUUUUGUUAUUUCUAUUCUUAUUCAUUUAUUGAUUUUUUUAGACCAAACCUAAGAACUCUCAUAAAUAUGAAUAUUGAUCCCAAUAUAUAUAUAUAUACAUAUUGUUUUUUUAUUUUUUUGUUAUUUCUAUUCUUAUUCAUUUAUUGAUUUUUUAGACCAAACCUAAGAACUCUCAUAAAUAUGAAUAUUGAUCCCAAUAUAUAUAUAUAUACUAUUACAACCAUUAUCAUCUCUUUUUAUUAUUUUUUUUGUUUGAAUAUUUGUUUUUAUUUAUUUUUUUAUCAAAUAUUUACUCAUAUUUUCAUUUACCACUUUAUAUUUUAUUGUUAUUUUUCUACUUUAAAAUAUCAUAUAAUCUCUACAUAAUAUCUUUUUUAUCUUAAUUAAAUUAUUCUUAUGCUCAUAAUAAUAUGUUUUAAACAUAAACAAUUGAGUCACCACAAUAAAUAAAAAAAAUAUUAUAGUAAAAAAGCAUGCAAGUUAGAUCUUACCUUAUGUAGAUUUAGAUUAGCUCAAAAAGAAUAGAAUUAUGUGGGCCAAGGCAAGCCACGUACAACAACUUGCUCUCCAAAAAAUGCCGUGAAGAGUCCCUUCUUGUUACAAAUCUCUACCUCAUUUCUCCUUUUUUUUUUUUCUUUCUUUCUCUCCCUUAUUUCCUUCUUCCUUUCCUUUCUCUCUCCCCGUCGACUUCUUCUUUCUUUUUCUUUUUUUUUCUUUUUUUUUUCUUCUCUUCCUCUCCUUUCCUUUCUCUCUCCCCGCUGGCUUCUUCUUUCUUUUUCCUCUUUCUUUCUCCUUCUCUUUCUCUCUUUUCUCCCUGCCGGCGUCACACCCUUCUCCUCUUCUCUCUUCCUCUUCUCUCUAUCGUCUUCUUCCUUUUUUUUUUUGCUCUAUUUUUUGUGUUUGAUUGUGGUUCUUCGGCUGCUAGAGACUUUUUGGUUUUUUGAAAACGUUUUUUUAUAUUGUUUUUUGGCUUUUUUUGGUUCUUCCUCUCUGAUUUUUUUUUAUUUUCCCACUUCCCCCGUUUUGCAGGUUGUCCAUCUUUUGAGGUCAGGUUGUCCAAAAAUUUGGACAACUCGGUAAUGGGGUUCUACACCAAAAAGUUGAUAGUCAAAACCCCCAUCAUUUAAGGUGGUUCCUUCUCUUUUUCUUUUUUAAUUAUUUUAUUUUAUACUUUAUUUUAUUAUAAUUUUUUAUUUUUUUGAGGUAUCUACUUAUGAUAGAUUAUUAGAUUGGACGGUUAAGAUAUAAUAUGUUAUGAGAAGCUUAGAUUUAUAUUAAAAUUUAAUAGAUUUGAAUUAGUAGAUUCACUUUUAUUUUUUUGUAAAUUUGAUAGGCUUAACAUAUUAGUUUAAAAUUUAUUUAUUGGGUUUAACUAGCAAUAUGGUAACCAUAAUAACUCUAAUUUUGCCAAACAGUAUGAAAAAUAAAACUAAUUAUUAAAUUAAAAAUUAUUUUGAGAGCUAUUAAAAAUAAAUAUAAUAAAUAAAUAUGUAUUGAAAAAAUAUAAUUAUUUCAUUCUAUCAAUUUGUAUGUAUAAUCUUAUUACUUAAAAUUUGUAACAUACGUACUAAAAUGUAUUGGUUAUUUUGAAUAAAAAAUAAUAUAUUGAUGAAAUUUUAAGUCACAAUACAAUACUGCAACGUAUAUUUAAAAAUUAUAUAAUAAUUUAUUUAUUUUUAAAAAUUAAAAUCAUAAAAAAUAAUAUCUAGAUAAUAGAAAAAAAAACAUGAAAAGUAGAAAAUAAAAUCCAUAUAUAAUAUAAUAAAAGAAAAAAAAUAUGAUUGUUGGUACGUUAAAAUUUGUGAAAGAAAAUUUAUAAAGAUUUAAAAUAUAUGAGAAGAACUAGGUUUCCCAGGUGAACGCUGCAUCAGGAGCAGGGAUAUCAUUCCGCAGUAGGGCAGUACCAGUAUACGUUUGUGAUUUAAGCUUUGAACCACUUUAAACUGAAAGGCUCUGACAGCAUAUCAAGAACCACCCGUUUUGGAUUGAGAAAUAAGGAUCCAAAAAUAGUUACCAUACAUUUAACAACUAUUAUCACAUCGCUGAUAAUUAAAUGCUAUAGUACAUUGAAUACCGUUACUGAAGACUAUUUAACAUUUUACCAUCUUGGACACUAAUAGCUGCACACUCCAGAAUAAGCUAUACUAACCUAGAAGCAGCUAGUCUUAUUAAGAACUUUAGGCACCACUCUGUAGUGAAUGAAGCAUUACUUGAAUUCCAUGUUGUGGCUGAAGCUUAAGUAUAGUAAAUGGAGAGUGAACAUAGGCUGGGGAGAGAGUAAAGGUGUAACGUUGUAGAAUCAUUGAGAGAGCAGUCUUUGUUUCGGUGGUUGCAAAGCUCAUACCCACGCAAGAUCGAGGUCCCAAUGAAAAAGGAAUGAAUGCAGCCGCAUUGUAUUUGGUAGCUUUGGCAGUCCCUUCUGCGAGCUUAUCUGGUUUGAAAAGAUUAAAUAGAUUGAUUAUAUUAUCAAUUGAAAAAAAAAUAUUAGAAAAAUUUGAUUAUAAAAAUUUAAUUAAAAAUUUUGCAUAUCAAAAAGUUAGAAGAAUAAAAUUUUAAUAAUUUUUUUUAAUUUCAAUAAAAAAACCUCAUUUGAUUAUUUUGCUUUAAAUUUUUGAACUUAUUGAGCCGCCUUUGGCCAUAUCAUUUUCAUAAUUCGUCAAGUUACUCUAUCAAGAUACAUUCCCAAUCCCCUAUGCUUUACAUCAUUUCUUUCAACCCAAAGAAACUAAGAAAUUACAUAUUAAAUGUAGCUGGUUUUGUCCAUACUGGUUAUCAGCGGAGUAAAGGGUUUUAAGGAAAAAUACCAAUUUAUCAUUAUAAGGUGAUUCAAUACUGAAUUGUGUCAGCUCAUGGAAUAUGACGGAAAAUAAGGCUAUGGCUUUUGUCAGCUCAUGAAGGAGUAAUAGCUACAUUGGCUGUAUCACCUGUGAAAAGGGCUGGUUUCUUCUGCCAGGCAUGAUCACAAGUUUGUCAAAUUGUGGAAGUGAUACGAUUGCUAGCAGAAUUCCCAAGUUUUAAUCCACAACAAUUGUUGGUUUGUAGCUGUUCAGCUUGCUUAAAGGUGUCCAUUUUGUGGUUUGUCCCAAUGCUCAAAGAUUUUUAUUCACCAUGCCAUGAGGUUAUUUGGUUCAUGAUCUUCACAAAAUGACUACAGGAAUUUAGAAGCUGAGAAGCCUUAGAUUGUUUACUAGGAGCGGAGCUGGGAUAUACCAGGGUUUAGUACUCAAAAGAAGAUAAUCUUGUUUCUUUGUUGCCAAUACAUGAAACCCCUAAUACUUGUAUCAUCAGAAAUGGCCGGUAAAUACAGUUAAAUGGAAGAAAAUAAUCAGAAACUGGUUAUCAUUAGUUUGUAAGAUUUCUUAAAAAAAACUGUACAAAUUUCCAGAAAUCAAAAGAGCAAAAUGAUGAACAAAAACAGAGUUGAGAGAAGAAACAAGUCUGUAUAUGGAUCAAAAUUGAUGAAAUAACGGCUGCUCAGAUGAAAGAGAAAGAAGGCCGUUGGACUACACAAACAAAGAGAGAACGAAAACGACGCGAUUGAAGGAAAGAAACAAACAUUGAACAAACGACACAACAAGUCGUCGUAUGCUCCUGUAAACAGAACAGACAAGAAACGACAGCCAAGGACACCGUUUAAGCACCCCCAACAAGCAAAUCAUAAAACGACACAGGUGACCCCCGUUUCACAAACUCAAAUCGAUGAAGGCAUAUGCGGCACCACUUUGCACAGCCCUGAACCCUUCUUCAACUUAUUUAAAUUCCAACUGCUUCCCGCCAUUAGUUAUUUAUAAUUAGUUAUUAUUUAUAAGUUUUUGCCAGUUCUGAUCAGGCGGGCUGGUCAAAAUUGUAAAGUAGUUGUAAAUACUUGCAAAGAUACCAUUGUUAGAGGUCUGGUUAUAUGUCAUGGCGCAUAUUUGAGAAUGGAGUUCAUGCUGAUUAAUCGUGUGCAAACUGUGAUGUCCACAUUUAUUGGAUUUUGAGAGGGCUAUGAACUCGACUGAAUGGCUUCUGUGUUCAGUAUAUAAACUGAAACAGGGGACUGUACUCCCCAACAAACUUGCUGGAAAUAAUUUUAUAGUUGCUUAACAGGGGAGAUCACCGUGAAAGCCUGUGCUGUUUAUACCAUUUAGUUUAGUUUUAGUAUGUGGUAAUCUUGAUGCUCCUUCUGCCUAAUGAGCAAGCCAGAGCUGGUUCCCGGGUUCACCUAGUCCUGUACUGUGUAUAAAGAGAAUUUUGAAUAUAAAUCAAUAGUAUGCCAUAAUUUAGUAUGAUUUCUUACCAUUUUAUUUAAUUUUUUCAGGGUAAAUUUAUAACUAAUGUCAAUCUUUACCAAUAAUGGAGCCAAGGUUUAUGCUCAAUCUGGGUAAAGUUAUUUCUCCUUCUGCAAGUCUCUCUGGUUUGAAAACAUGAACAUCUUCAACCAUAUCUCAGGGUCAUGGUGAAGUGCUGGAGUUGAAAUGAACAAUUCAGUAUUUUUCUUCUUGGAGAAUUUUGUUACAGAAAAAAAGAUGCCUGGACAAUCAUACGGAUCUCUAAUCAAGAUCUACAACAAUAUCAGAAUAUAAGAGGAAAUAGUACUCAGAGGAGCACCAUCUUCAUACUUGAUUGCUUAAACAUUUUGUUCCAAUAUCAUCAUUUACUAUUACAUGGAUAGAAACAAGGACAAAUUAAUCAACAUCACUGACUGGGGUGAGUUACUGGCUGCGGCCUCUGUAAGCAACUGAUCUACAAGGCAUUAUUCCAUUGACAACUCUAGGCUUCAUUCUACAGAGAAUGAAGUAUUACCUGAAUUCCAUGUUGUGGCUGAAGCAAAGGAAGGUAAUAUGGUGAGUGGCUGUAGGCUGGGCAAAGGGAAAUGGUGUAUCGCUGUAGAAUCAUGGAAAGAGCAAUCUUUGUUUCUGUAAUUGCAAAGCUCAUACCGACACAAGAUCGAGGUCCCAAUCCAAAGGGAACAUAUGCAGCUGCAUUAUGUUUGGUGGCAUUCGCGAUCCCUUCUGCGAAUCUCUCAGGUUUGAAUAGAUUGACAUCAUCUCCCCAUAACUGAGGGUCAUGGUGAAGUGCCAUGAUUGGGACAACCAAAUGUAAAUCAGCUGGCAGGAUGAGCUUUCCCAAUUGAACUUCUCGUCCAACUCUCCUUACGAUGCGAUUUAAAGGAGGAUACAACCGUAAAGUUUCAUUGAUGAUCAUGGUCAUCUGUUUACAGAUUAGAAAUCAAAGGUAUCAAAUUAUAAAUUCCCAGUUUAAUACCCUGAAUGCUCAUAACUAGUGUAUGCUAUUAAAGUGGUUAGAGCUUGAAAUUUGCUUACAGUUUUUAGUUUGGCAAUCCCUUCAGGAUGUGGAUCUUGAUUACCAAAUUCCUCAAUCAUUUCUCUUCUUGCUUUCUCUUGCCAAUCUGUAUGGAUUGCCAAAAGCAG
rnacentral:lncRNA from 1 species